rnacentral:lncRNA from 1 species
UAGCCAUUCUGGCAGCAUAUGUAGGCGUUGGCACUCCUUCAAAGAUAGGACUCUGAGAGCAGUAAGCUUCUUCAUGCUUUCAGGCAAAAAAGUCAGGUUGGGGCAAUCGAUGAUGCAAAAUUUUUGCAGGGAAAUCAUCUGUCCUAGGCAUUCUGGCAACAUAGCUAGGCCUUGGCACUCCUCUAUCCAAAGCUCUGUUAAAGAAGUAAGGCCCUUCAUGCUUUCAGGCAAAAAAGUCAGGUUGGGGCAAUCGAUGAUGCAAAUUUUUUGCAGGGAAAUCAUCUGUCCUAGGCAUUCUGGCAACAUAGCUAGGCCUUGGCACUCCUCUAUCCAAAGCUCUGUUAAAGAAGUAAGGCCCUUCAUGCUUUCAGGCAGAGUUGUCAGGUUGGGACAAUUGAUGAUGGAAAUGUCUUGCAGGGUAAUGAGCUGCCCUAGGCUUUGUGGCAACACAGCUAAUUCUUGGCACUUCUUUAUAUACAGAUAUGUUAAAGAAGUAAGGCCCUUCAUGCUUUCAGGCAAAGUUGUCAGGUUGGGACAAUUGAUGAUUUGAAAUUUUUGUAGUGAAGUGAGCAGCCCUAUCCAUUCUGGCAAUAUAUCCCAACCUUUGCAUCCCUGCAGCUGUAGCACU